UAUGCGUUCACAGCCAUCACUUCACGCCGGAGGAUUACCACCACAACGGAGAGAUUUAGCGUGUGCGGUACUCGG
rnacentral:lncRNA from 1 species